GUGAACAACGAAGGGCGCGCGGUGGAUGCCUAGGCUCUCGGAGGCGAUGAAGGACGCGAUAAGCCGCGAUAGGCCACGGCGAGGUGCAAGUAACCCUUGACCCGUGGAUUUCCGAAUGGGGCAACCCGGCCGUCUAGAUGACGGUCAUGCAGUAAUGCAAGCGAACGCGGGGAACUGAAACAUCUCAUUACCCGCAGGAGAAGAAAACAAAAUGUGAUUCCCCCAGUAGUGGCGAGCGAACGGGGAAGAGCCCAAACCGUUGCCGUUUCGGCGACAGCGGGGUCAUGGGACCGCGACAUUCGACGGAAGACGAAGUGCAAUUACCUGGAAAGGUAAGCCGUGGAGGGUGACAGCCCCGUGCACGACACCUCUUUCGAAGAUAGCGGUAUCCCGAGUAGGGCGGGACACGAGAAAUCCUGCCUGAAUUCGCCAGGACCGCCUGGCAAGGCUAAAUACUCCCGAGAGACCGAUAGUGAACCAGUACCGUGAGGGAAAGGUAUGAGCCUACGAGUUAGUCGUCACCAGCGAGGUUAAGGGCUUCAGGCCCGUUAGCCGAAGUGAAAGCGAGCCUUAACAGGGCGUCGAGUUGGUGGCGCUAGACGCGAAACCUUGUGAUCUACCCACGAGCAGGUUGAAGUCGCGGUAACACGUGAUGGAGGACCGAACCGGUAAACGUUGAAAAGUUUUCGGAUGACUCGCGGGUAGGGGUGAAAGGCCAAUCAAACUGGGAAAUAGCUCGUACUCUCCGAAAUGCAUUUCGGUGCAGCCUGUGAUGUUCUGUUCCAGAGGUAGAGCUACUGGUUGGACGCGAGGGCUUCACCGCCUAUCAAAUCCGGAUAAACUCCGAAUGCUGGAACACGAAAUCAUGGAGUGAGCCCGCGGGUGCUAAGGUCCGCGGACGAGAGGGAAAGAACCCGGACCACCGGCUAAGGUCCCGGAUGGACAGUUAAGUUGAUCAAACGAGGUGGGAUCGCGGAGACAGCUAGGAUGUUGGCUUGGAAGCAGCCAUUCAUUUAAAGAGUGCGUAACAGCUCACUAGUCGAGCGAUCCCGCGUGGAUAAUACACGGGCAUCAAACUGUCAACCGAAGCCGUGGGGUUAGUGAUGAGCUAACCGGUAGGAGAGCAUUCCUGCCAGCUUAGAAGGUCACCCGCGAGAGUGACUGGAGCGGCAUGAAAAGCAAAUGUAGGCAUAAGUAACGAUAAUGGGGGCGAGAACCCCCCACGCCGCAAGACCAAGGAUUCCCCGGCAAUGUCAAUCAGCCGGGGGUCAGCCGGCCUCUAAGGCUCACCCGAAAGGGGAUGCCGACGAGAAACGGGUUAACAUUCCCGUGCUUCUCGUCACCGUGACGCGGUGACGGGGUGAUGAAUGGACCGCGCGCUGACGGAAUAGCGCGUUGAAGGCCGUACCCUAUGACGGUGGUAGUCAAGCACGCCACCGGAGGCGAGAGCCGAUAGUACCACGAGACCCCGGUCGAGUGGAUAGCGUCCAGGCAAUUUACCCCCUAGAAAACCCGCUAAACUUCAAGUGACGAGGAACCGUACUGUAAACGGACACACGUGGUCGGGUAGAACAUACCAAGGCGCUCGAGUGAUUCAUGGUCAAGGAACUAGGCAAAAUAGUCCUGUAACUUAGGGAUAAAGGACGCUCUAGUGAUAGAGCCGCAGAGUAAUGGCCCAGGCGACUGUUUACCAAAAACACAUGGCUAUGCCAAAUCGAAAGAUGACGUAUAUGGCCUGACACCUGCCCGGUGCCGGAAGGUUAAGAGGAGAGCUCAUCGGAAACGAGAAGGUUUGAAUUGAAGCCCCGGUAAACGGCGGCCGUAACUAUAACGGUCCUAAGGUAGCGAAAUUCCUUGUCGGGUAAGUUCCGACCUGCACGAAUGGUGUAACGAUCUGGGCACUGUCUCGACCAUGAGCUCGGUGAAAUUGUAGUUCCGGUGAAGAUGCCGGGUACCCGCGACGGGACGGAAAGACCCCGUGAACCUUUACUGCAGCUUCGCGUUGUUCCCGGGCACGGGACGUGUAGGAUAGGUCGGAGGCUAGGAGUCGGUUUCGCCAGGAAUCGAGGAGCCAUCGUUGAAAUACGACCCUUCUCUUGUCUGGGAUCUAACCCAUGGUAAUGGGGACACCGCGUGGUGGGUAGUUUGACUGGGGUGGUCGCCUCCAAAAGCGUAACGGAGGCUUCCAAAGGUACCCUCGGGUUGGUUGGUAAUCAACCUUAGAGUGCAAUGGCACAAGGGUGCUUGACCGGGAGACCAACGAGUCGAUCGGGUGCGAAAGCAGGGCAUAGUGAUCCGGUGAUCCCGCGUGGAAGGGUCAUCGCUCAAAGGAUAAAAGGUACUCCGGGGAUAACAGGCUGAUCGCCCCCAAGAGCUCAUAUCGACGGGGCGGUUUGGCACCUCGAUGUCGGCUCGUCACAUCCUGGGGCUGGAGAAGGUCCCAAGGGUUCGGCUGUUCGCCGAUUAAAGUGGCACGCGAGCUGGGUUCAGAACGUCGUGAGACAGUUCGGUCCCUAUCUGUCGUGGGCG
rnacentral:rRNA from 1 species